UACGUAGGGGGGCAAGCGUUGUCCGGAUUUAUUGGGCGUAAAGAGCGUGUAGGCGGCCUUACAGGUCAGCUGUGAAAACUCGAGGCUCAACCUCGAGACGUCGGUUGAAACCGUAUGGCGUAGAGUCCGGAAGAGGAGAGUGGAAUUCCCGGUGAUAGCGGUGAAAUGCGCAGAUAUCGGGAAGAACACCCGUGGCGAAGGCG
rnacentral:rRNA from 1 species